rnacentral:rRNA from 1 species
ACGGCUCAGUAACACGUGGAUAACCUGCCCAAGGGUCCGGGAUAACCCCGGGAAACUGGGGAUAAUACCGGAUGGAUCACUAGUGCUGGAAUGCUUGGUGGUUUAAAGGUAACGCCUUUGGAUGGGUCUGCGGCGGAUUAGGUUGACGCCGGUGUAACGUACCGGCGUGCCUGUAAUCCGUACGGGUUGUGGGAGCAAGAGCCCGGAGAUGGAUUCUGAGACACGAAUCCAGGCCCUACGGGGCGCAGCAGGCGCGAAAACCCUACAAUGCAGGCAACUGCGAUAGGGGGACAUCGAGUGGCAUCCACCUUGGGUGCCUGUCCAACCGUCUAAAAAACGGUUGUUAGCAAGGGCCGGGUAAGACCGGUGCCAGCCGCCGCGGUAAUACCGGCGGCUCGAGUGGUGGCCGAUAUUAUUGAGUCUAAAGGGUCCGUAGCCGGCUUUGCAAGUCCCCUGGGAAAUCCAGCGGCUUAACCGUUGGGCUUUCAUGGGAUACUACAUUGCUUGGGACUGGGAGAGGUAGGAGGUACUCGGGGGGUAGGGGUGAAAUCCUGUAAUCCUCCGGGGACCACCAGUGGCGAAGGCGUCCUACCAGAACAGGUCCGACGGUGAGGGACGAAAGCUAGGGGCACGAACCGGAUUAGAUACCCGGGUAGUCCUAGCCGUAAACGAUGCCCGCUAGGUGUCACGACGGUCGUGAAUCGUCGUGGUGCCGUAGGGAAGCCGCGAAGCGGGCCACUUGGGAAGUACGGCCGCAAGGCUGAAACUUAAAGGAAUUGGCGGGGGAGCAC